CGAGGAGGAGGAACGGAAGGAGGAGAAGGAGAAGGAGGAGAAGAAGAAGAAGGGGAAAAAGAAGAUUUCAAGAUGAACUUCACGGGGCGGAUGGGUUUGUGUAGCAGGCUACGGUCGGGAGUCUACAGCAGGAUGGAGGCAUGUAAUGAGGCAACUGCUGUGUGGAGGGUGACAUUUUGCAGAACAAGAACGUACGUGCCGCCAACAAUUGGAAGGCACCUCUUUUUGUGUAACGAAGGUUAAUUGUGAUGCAACUAUCCCACAAGGCCAUGCAAAGGGAGGAUUAUUGGGUUUUGUUUUUAGAGACUCUGAGGGAUGCCUUGCUCAAGCUUUCUUAAUGCCGCAUCAUUUUACUUCCCUAAUCCAAGGGUAAAGCCUUGCAAUUAGAAGUGCUAUCUAUCAAGCAUUAAUUGAAGUUGUGCUA